AACGAACGCUGGCGGCGUGCCUAACACAUGCAAGUCGUGCGAGAAAGUUCCUUCGGGAGCGAGUAAAGCGGCGCACGGGUGAGUAACACGUAGGUAACCUGCCCCCCAGUCUGGAACAACUAGAGGAAACUCUAGCUAAUGCCGGAUGAGACCACGAUCCCCUUCGGGGGUUGCGGCCAAAAGAUGGCCUCUACUUGUAAGCUAUCGCUGAGGGAUGGGCCUGCGGGCCAUUAGCUUGUUGGUGAGGUAACGGCUCACCAAGGCUGUGAUGGCUAGCUGGUCUGAGAGGAUGACCAGCCACACUGGGACUGAGACACGGCCCAGACUCCUACGGGAGGCAGCAGUGGGGGAAUAUUGCGCAAUGGGCGAAAGGACCUGGACGCAGCGACGCCG
rnacentral:rRNA from 1 species